rnacentral:tRNA from 1 species
CUUGUGGCUCAAUGGUAGAGCUUUAGUCUUCGAAACUGAAU